rnacentral:rRNA from 1 species
AUUGAACGCUGGCGGCAUGCCUUACACAUGCAAGUCGAACGGCAGCAUGAUCUAGCUUGCUAGAUUGAUGGCGAGUGGCGAACGGGUGAGUAAUACAUCGGAACGUGCCCUGUAGUGGGGGAUAACUAGUCGAAAGAUUAGCUAAUACCGCAUACGACCUGAGGGUGAAAGUGGGGGACCGCAAGGCCUCAUGCUAUAGGAGCGGCCGAUGGCUGAUUAGCUAGUUGGUGAGGUAAAGGCUCAACAAGGCGACGAUCAGUAGCUGGUCUGAGGGGACGAUCAGCCGCACUGGGACUGAGACACGGCCCAGACUCCUACGGGAGGCAGCAGUGGGGAAUUUUGGACAAUGGGGGCAACCCUGAUCCAGCAAUGCCGCGUGUGUGAAGAAGGCCUUCGGGUUGUAAAGCACUUUUGUCCGGAAAGAAAUCGCACUUACUAAUAUUAGGUGUGGAUGACGGUACCGGAAGAAUAAGGACCGGCUAACUACGUGCCAGCCGCCGCAGUAAUAC